GGGAGAGACCCGAGAAUUUCCGGCGGUGCUUUGAGUGUUGCGGUGUUCGCCGGAGUUAGUAGGGCAGGAUGUUUGGUGUUUGAUAUGGGACUUGCCACCACGCCGGCGUGUUUCAUGAGCACCGUUUUGUCUCCUUUUUCUUAUGAUGCUUCUAUUAUGGUUGGUUCAUGUUCAUGGACCCAAAUUUAUAUAAAUACCUAAAUUAUAUAUACUUUUUUUUACAUACUUUACUCACAUGUAUCACUAUUAUGAUUAUAAAAUAAUAACAAAUAAUUUUAGAGAGAAGAAAAACUUUUAAAACUUUUUAAUUUGAAAUAAUACCAAAAAUUUAAAAUUUAUCCUUACAACCUUUUAAAUUACUUUAUGAAUCAGAAGCAUACAUUUAUUGUUCAAAUCCACUUGACUAAAGAUAUUAUAUUUACUUAAAGAAUAUUCUUUGAACUGAGUUUAUUAUACCAAUAAUCUCUCGUUAUAUCUAUACUUUGUUGACAUCUAUAACUGAACAACUUUGAUAAAAUAAAACAAAUAUUUUGAAAGUCGAGUGACAAAAAUAGAAUAAAUUGAAGGAUUGGAAAUUCAACUUUUUUUUCUAAUUUUAUAAAAACAAAAAGAAGAAAUAAUAACUUAAACAUAAUAAAAAAAUUACACAAAAUAUUUAUUUAUUUUUGUGUUGUAGUUAACAGCAUCUCACUUACCAUAUACGCGAAAUGGGAUGAAGUUUUUCACGAAGAGAGGAGGGUUAAGCUCGCCGGAGGUGGAAGAGAUAUGCAACAGAGCCGCCAUGAAGUACGCAAACAGAGUGGUGAAAGUCUCUACUCUUCUCCGAACGCCGCCGUCAAAGGUGGAUUUCAUGGCGGCUUAUUCACAGCAUCUCAGAGAUAUCAUUAAGCAGAGAAUCAAUCAUC
rnacentral:lncRNA from 1 species